UCCCAAGCUGUGGCCCUCUAGAGAAAGCACUUUCUGUUUGUUGUCUGAGGAAAAACAAAGUGCUUCCCUUUAGAGUGUGACCAUUUGGGA
rnacentral:pre_miRNA from 1 species